CCGCUGAGCCAUCUCUCCAGCCCUGACCUUGGAAUCUAUAAAAGCUAUCCUUGAGUAUGGAUCGAUGACCUUGCCAACUCGAUAGAUUCGGAUCUAUACCGUGUAUUGCUUGGUCAACCAUACAGACUGCUCAGUCUCUGUGGGUCCUGGAUCCCUUAAGAGAAUUUUGACUCAGAUUUUUCCAUCUCCUGCCUGAGAAACAAAGACACAGGGUCAGCAGUUGAUUCCUCGUGUGAGGUCCUUCCCAUUUGACUCUAAAAUAACCAUUCUCGGUUGUGUUGAAUGCAUACAAUACUGUUAACCUUUGUUUUUUCUUCAAGGCAAGGUCCCACGUAGCCCACACUGGUCUUGAACUCAGAUUAUAGUUGGGGAUGAGCUUGAAUUCACAACCCUCUUACCUCGCCUCCUCAGUGCUGGGAUUGCAGGUGUGGGCCAGCUACAGCUUGCCACGCUGACUGCCUCUAAGUAUGGGGCUCACUGCUAAUCACUAGUUCUUAGUGCCGUGCAGCCGCCGCUGCCCUCCCUCCCCAAAGCUCUCCAUCUUCUGAGCAUCUGUACCCACCAAACAACCGCUCCCCAUCCCGUCCGCUCCGCGCCCUGGCACCCACUCUUCUAUUCCUUUAGGUCCGUACUCGUUUGCAGUGAUUUGUCUUUUGUGAAAGCUUGAUUUCAGACAGAAUGAUGUUGUCACACCUCAUCCAUUUAUUACCUCCUUUUCAAGGCUAUGUCCUAUUCCACUGCAUAGACAAACUGCAGGCAAUAAUCCAUCAAUAGGUAUUUGGGGUGCUUUUGCUUCUUGGCUACGAUGAACACAAAUAAGCAAAUCUCUCUUUAAGACCUUGCUUUCCAGUCUGUCCGGUGUAUGUCCAGAAUGGGAGUUCCUGGAUCACAUGGUACUUUAAUCUACAACAUUUGAGGGGACUGUACACUUGUGCCCAUGGCCGGUGUAUUAUAGCCCCACCAGCAAUGUGCAAGGGGCUGGCUGAGAUUUCUGCACAUCAACACGUAUUCUCCGCUUUUUAAAACAGGAGAAAUUGACGAUGUUUCAACAUUUCUGAACUUGUUCUGAAGUUCUGAGCCUCAGGAUACUAUGGAAUGUUUGUAGGAUUCACUCUUUACCCCACCUCAGACCAAGUGGGACCCAAGAGGCUGGGGUGUAGCCUUUUGACAAGCACGGGUGUGUGCUGAUGCUUGUAACCAUGGGAAAGCCUCCUGCAGCCUGAAGUCUUUCCAGUCGUGGACCUGUGUAAAAAUUCAAGAUCUGGAAAUGAGACAUUUUUAACUAAGGAAAUGCUCUUCAAAACUUAGAUUUUUACCAGCGACCUCCAACAAAAUGCCCUAUUAUCAGCUUCCUACAGAUCUCUUGAGAGCCACCCUGAGGCAUUAUUACGGAAGCAAUCCUCCCCAGGGCCACUUCCCUGGCUGCGCCCCUCCAUGAAGGAUUUUUUUUUAUUUGAGAAAUGAGUACCUCAUCACGUACAAACGUCACAUCACUUCCAGCCCCAUUGUCACCUGGGAAUAGUCUCUCUGCUGCUUCAUCAGAACAGUGUGUCAUAGACACCCUCUGGAGAACAUGGUUUUGGAUUGCCACCAACAGUGUGGAAAUGUCCAGACCUCUCAUCAGUGUCUUCCCUUGCCAUCUCAGGUCCGAUGCAGAGGUUCCCACAGCAAGGGAAAAGCACACAAAUCCAUUGGAUAAACACUUGCUGUGAUCGGAAGACUUCAUAAGGGAAUGAAGACCCAAGGAAAAGAGUUGACCUGUGUGUUUUCAAUGCUAGGGCUUUUAUUGUCUUGUCUGUUGUUAUUUGUUAUCUCACUGUGUAACCCUGGCUAGCCCAGAGCUCUCUGUCGUAGACCAGGCUGGCCUCAAACUCAUGGAGACCCUCCUGCUUCUGCCUAUCAAGUGUUAGGACUAAAGGCAUGC